rnacentral:lncRNA from 1 species
GCACUCGAACUUUUUAUAUAUUAUAAUAUUAUAAAUAAAUAAAAAAAGAGUGUUGGCGGUUUCAAAGUACCUAAAAAAACCAAAGGGCCAUGUUCGAUAAUUCAGAAGGCAGCCGCACAAAACUGGGUGUCCAAUCCAACGGCAAAGAUCCAAAUUGGAGACCCGAUGCAUUCCCUCUUGGUUCUAGUUGCUUUCCCUUUUUUCUUUUUGGGACACCCCUUUGUUGACUUUAAUGUAAAAAACAGACCAUAUCCCUCCAUCUCCCCUGACUUGUCAAUUUUUUGCACCAGUCUUUAAAGCUGGCAUCGCCAAAAUGCAAACUAUGGCUGGCUGAAGCUGUUUCCCUAUGAAGAAAAGCCAAGAUACAAACCCUCUAGUAAGGUAAUAUAGACAAAUAUCAUGAAUUUCAGAGCUUGAAAAUUAGAUAUUUACAUUCUUUUGGUUUAUUUUGGUAUCUGAAUUUAAAAAUUAGAUCUAUUUUAAUUUUUUAAUUUAAAGAAAAAAUUGUAAUAAUUUAAUGAUGUGUCACUUUUAAAUUAUGUUACGUCAUCACAAUAAAAAAUAGAACCAGUGAUAUUAUGUUAUAUUAUCAAACUUUUAUAUCUUUUUCAAAUUUAAGGAUUAAAAUAGAUUUAGUUGUCAAAUUCGAGUAUUAAAUUAAAUUAAAAAAUAUAAGCAACAAAGUGGACUUAGUUGAUAAAUUCAGACGGCAAAAAUUACAUUAACCCUAAAAAUAACGACAUCUAAUAUAUAAUGAAAGAAAUUACAUGUUACUAUUUAUCACCUUCAAAGCCAUGACUUUUGAACAUUUAAAAAAAUCACAUAAAGACCAGCUUUGGUUUGGUUCAAAAUGUGUUUUAAAAAAGAGUUUUGGAUAGCUAAAAUGAAUGCUAAACAAUCCCCACUCAUAAAAUCAUAGAUCUCAUUUCAACUAAUAGACAUGUCUAUACUUACAAGUGCUGAUAUUCUUUGGAAUGAGAUGGAAAUAGAUUUAAAUUUAUUAUAUUUUAUGAUUUACGGAUGUCUGAUUCAAGGAAAAUAAGAUUAUCUUUGAUAAUAUAAUUAUCAUAAUAUGAUAUUAGUUAACACAUUAUGAGUUCAAGAUAACCUUUAGAAUCUAAAUCUGGAAAUGUUAUUCCGAAAUCUUACAUUACCUUUAAUAGUGUGAGAUUAUUGAACUAGAUUUUUAUAAACCUAACAAAUUUGAACGGCAAGAAAACAUCGACAGAGUUCUUUCUUUUCCAUGUGUGCCAUUCCUUAAAACAACAAGCACUUGUCUAGGGCAUACAAAAUAAAUAGACUCACACCACUCUAUUUCUAUUAAAAAGAAAACAACAAAUCUCUCAAAGUUUUUAGGGUGUGAUUUUGUUAAGGGAAAAUAAGAUUAUCUCUAAUAACAGAAUUAUCGAAAUGUAAAAUUACUUAUUACAUCAUGGGCUCAAAGUAAUCUUUGAAAUUCAAAUGUAAAAAUAUUAUUAGGAAAUCUUACAUUGCCUUUGACAAUGUAAGAUUACUGAACCAUAUCGUUCUAAACCUAACAAAUUUAAAUGGCUAGAGAACAUCAACAAAGUUCUUUCUUUUCUUUUCUUUUCUUUUCCAUGUAUGCCAUUCCUUAAAACAACAAGCACUUGCCUAGGGCAUAUAGACCAAAUAGACUCACACCAUCCUAUUUCCAUUAAAAAGAAAACAACAAAUCUCUUAAAGUUACUAGAUCUUAAAUUUAAGGAGUGAUUUGGUUACGGGAAAAUAAUAUUAUCUCUGAUAACAGAAUUACUGAAAUAUAAAAUUACUUAUUACAUUAUGGGCUCAAAGUAAUAUUUGAAAUCUAAACAUAAAAAUGUUAUUCCAAAAUCUUACAUUACCUUUGACAAUAUGAGAUUAUUGAACCAUAUAUAUCUUUUUAAACCUAACAAAUUUGAAUGGCAAGAGAACAAUAAAAGAGUUCUUUCUUCUUUUUUCCAUGUGUGUCAGUCCUUAAAACAAUUAAGCACUUGCCUAGGGCAUAUAGACCAAAUAGACUCACACCACUCUAUUUCCAUUAAAAAAAAACGACAAAUCUCUUAAAGUUACUAAAUCUUAAAUUUAGGGUGUGAUUUGAUUAAGGAAAAAUAAGAUUAUCUAUAAUAACACAAUUACUGAAAUGUAAAAUUACUUUUUACAUUAUAGGCUCAAAGUAAUUUUUGAAAUCUAAACGUAAAAAUAUUAUUCUGAAAUUUUAUAUUACCUUUGACAAUGCCAGAUUAUUGAACCAUAUCUUUCUAAACCUAACAAAUUUGAAUGGUAAGAGAACAUCAACGAAGUUUUUUCUUCUCUUUUCUUUUUUAUAUUUUCCAUGUGUGCCAUUCCUUCAAACAACGAGCACCUGUUUAGGGCUUAGACCAAAUAGACUAAUCACCAAAUUUUCAUUAAAAAAAUCGACAAAUUUCUCAAAGUUACUAGAUCUUAAAUUCAAGGUGUGAUUUGGUUAAAGAAAAAUAAAAUUAUCUAAAAUAACAGAAUUAUCGAAACGUAAAAUUACUUAUUACAUUAUGAGUUCAAAGUAAUUUUUAAAAUCGAAACGUAAAAAUAUAUUUGAAAUUUUAUAUUAUCUUUGACAAUGUGAAAUUCUUAAACUAGAUCUUUCUAAACCUAACAAAUUGAAAUGAUAAGACAACAUCCAUAGAGUCCAUUUCUUUUCUUUCCUAUACGUGCCAUUCCUUAAAAGAACAAGCAAUUGUCUAGGGCUUAGACCAAAUAGACUCACACCACCCUGUUUCUAUUUAAAAAACAACAAAUUUCUCUCAAAGUUUUACAAUCAUAAGGAGAUUGAAUCCGCUGCAAAAAUGUGAAAGCACCCAACUCAUGUACUCCUCAUCCGUCAUCCCCUAUAUGCAGCAAUGGACCAUACUUUCAUCACAAAUCUUUAGAAAGGGGGGGGGUGUAAAUGCUUGAUAGCAACUGAACUUCCUGAUCAUGUAUUAACUUAUUCGAAAAGCUUUAAUUAAAGAGUUACCUUCCUUGAGCACCACAUGAAUGGAACCUGUCUGUCUGGCAUGCAUGCUUUUAGCCCCAUGAGUUGAGCCUACAACAUGUGGAUGUGGAUAUAAGGCUCGUCCCUUUCCACUUUUCUGAGUUUGGGAGCGGGAAAGAGGCGCACCAAAAAG